AUCCAGUUGACUAGUCCCAAAUAGGAUGAAACGCGCCUUGUCCUGGAU
rfam:Schistosoma rodhaini strain Burundi genome assembly, scaffold: SROB_scaffold0003723